AACGAACGCUGGCGGUAUGCUUAACACAUGCAAGUCGAACGAACAAAAUUGGGGCUUGCUCCAAUUUUAGUGAGUGGCAACGGGUGAGUAACACGUGGGAAUCUACCUAUCAGUACGGAAUAACAUUUGGAAACAGAUGCUAAUACCGUAUAUUCUCCAAGGAGGAAAGAUUUAUCGCUGAUAGAUGAGCCCGCGCAAGAUUAGGUAGUUGGUAGGGUAAUGGCCUACCAAGCCGACGAUCUUUAGCUGGUCUGAGAGGAUGAUCAGCCACACUGGGACUGGGACACGGCCCAGACUCCUACGGGAGGCAGCAGUGGGGAAUAUUGGACAAUGGGCGAAAGCCUGAUCCAGCAAUACCGCGUGAAUGAUGAAGGCCUUAGGGUUGUAAAGUUCUUUUAGUUGGAAAGAUAAUGACGGUACCAACAGAAAAAGCCCCGGCUAACUCCGUGCCAGCCGCCGCGGUAA
rnacentral:rRNA from 1 species